rnacentral:rRNA from 1 species
AACGCGAAGAACCUUACCUGGGCUUGAACCGCUGGUGACCAACGGUAGAAAUAUCGUCUUCUCGCAAGAGACACCAGUAGAGGUGCUGCAUGGCUGUCGUCAGCUCGUGCCGUGAGGUGUUGGGUUAAGUCCCGCAACGAGCGCAACCCUUACUCUUAGUUGCCACCCGCAAGGGGGAACUCUAAGAGGACUGCUCCGGAUAACGGAGAGGAAGGUGGGGAUGACGUCAAGUCAGCACGGCCUUUAUGUCCAGGGCUACACACGUGUUACAAUGCAGCGUACAAACCGUUGCGAACCCGCGAGGGGGAGCUAAUCGGAGAAAACGUUGCUCAGUUCGGAUUGCAGUCUGCAACUCGACUGCAUGAAGCUGGAAUCGCUAGUAAUGGCGUAUCAGAACGACGCCGUGAAUACGUUCCCGGGCCUUGUACACACCGCUCGCGA